rnacentral:rRNA from 1 species
CUACGGGUCGCACCAGUGGGGAAUAUUGCACAAUGGGCGCAAGCCUGAUGCAGCCAUGCCGCGUGUAUGAAGAAGGCCUUCGGGUUGUAAAGUACUUUCAGCGGGGAGGAAGGGAGUAAAGUUAAUACCUUUGCUCAUUGACGUUACCCGCAGAAGAAGCACCGGCUAACUCCGUGCCAGCAGCCGCGGUAAUACGGAGGGUGCAAGCGUUAAUCGGAAUUACUGGGCGUAAAGCGCACGCAGGCGGUUUGUUAAGUCAGAUGUGAAAUCCCCGGGCUCAACCUGGGAACUGCAUCUGAACUGGCAAGCUUGAGUCUCGUAGAGGGGGGUAGAAUUCCAGGUGUAGCGGUGAAAUGCGUAGAGAUCUGGAGGAAUACCGGUGGCGAAGGCGGCCCCCUGGACGAAGACUGACGCUCAGGUGCGAAAGCGUGGGGAGCAAACAGGAUUAGAUACCCCUGUAGUC